rnacentral:sRNA from 2 species
UCCGGAUGCACGCCAAACUCUGCCGCCUCCCGGAUACCGCUGGACGAGGCAGAGGCGGGGGACCCAGAGUUCCCGGGCAUUUUCUGCAUCAUGCACCCUUGGGGUGAAGCCGACACGUGAGAUUCCGUGCGGCCGGAUGUCCUCAUCCGAACCCGACAGCUAACUCCGCAGGCGUUGAGAGGCACU